rnacentral:rRNA from 1 species
AUGCCUUACGAUGAGCGGUACACACCGUACAUCAAGCAGGCAGGACUACUCCAGUGGAUUCUGUUGGUCAGCCGGUCCACGCCGAAUCUGAACGCUCCACUGGUGUCCGCUCUUGUUGAUCGGUGGAGGCCGGAGACGCACAGUUUCCAUCUUCAGACUAGGGAGAUGACCGUGACGCUCGAGGAUGUCUCGUUGAUCACCGGUCUUGCUAUCGAUGGGAGGUCUCUCUGUAUGAGCACCAAUUCUGAUGGGUGGCGCGAGCAGAUGAUUGCUCUUAUCGGUAUGGCUCCUAUCGAGGCUGAGGCUGAUAUAGAGGAGGGAGAAGAGAAGAAGAAGAGGGAAAGGAAAGCAGCCGGAGCUGCUUUCACGUGGAUUCAAAAUAACUUUGCGACGUGCCCUCCGGAUGCCACUGAUGAUGUGAUCCAGACACAUGCUCGUGUGUAUAUGUGGUACGUUGUGUCGAGGACUUUGUUUCCUGACUCCACUGGCCAGAACGCUCCAUGGAUGUGGCUGAAGGCGUUGACCCUCUUCGAUAGCAAAUGGAGCUAG